CUCCCGGAUCAUCCGGACGAUGGCCGGAUCAUUCGGACCCCCAUCCGGAUCAUCCGGGCCUUGCCUGCGUGCAACGUUUCGGGCCGAGGCCCAUGUACCCAUUCGCCCCCUCGCUUACCCCUUCGCCCACUAGACUAUAAAUAGACCUCCUCCUCCCCAUUUUUAGGGUUAGCAAAGUGAUAGCUCAUUCUUAGGUGAGCUUUGCUCCUACUUAUCUCUACUCUUGAGAGAGAGAGACCACUACUCCAUUGGAGGCCAAGACCUCCAUCUAGGAGAAGAUCCCGCGGGAUAUCAUCAAGACCCCCUUGUGGGAAGAUCCAUCUAGGAUAUCAUCAAGACCUCCUCUUGGAGAUGAACCUUACCUUGUAUCUUUCCCUUUGUUGUUCAUGUACCUUGUGACCUUGUAUGUUUGAUUGUCUAGUGGAUGUCUGAUUUGGACUUGUUCUUGAGUGUUUCCCCUUGUGAUUUCUCCCCGUUCUUCCCCGUGUUCAUCAUGUUCUUCGAGGGAUCCCACUCCAAACGUGAAAGAUCGCCGCUAUAGGGUUCCACCCUACAUCAUAUGGUAUCAUGAGCCACGUUGAUCACGUUUUUGGAGCCCCUACCCCGUGUUUUCUAGCUUGAUUUUGUUGUUUUCGUCCUAAAUCCGAAAAUCCCCACCAAAAAUAGCCCCAAAUUUUUUUUGUGAUUUGUUGGUUUGAUGAUGUUUUGUUGAUUUUGAUCCAUGGAUUUGCUUGGUUUCAAGUGGAUCUAGGUUUCCCCCAAGUUUCCCCACCUUCCAUCCACGAAAUCCCUCAAAUUUUGCCCCGAAAAUCAUCCAUUUCCGCCCAAAAAUUCGUCCCCACGAGCAAAUCCCGAGCGGAUUGACUUGCCCAGAUCAUCCGGACCUUCUCCCAGAUCAUCCGGACAUAGCCCGGAUCAGGUGGACGCCCCNNNNNNNNNNNNNNNNNNNNNNNNNNNNNNNNNNNNNNNNNNNNNNNNNNNNNNNNNNNNNNNNNNNNNNNNNNNNNNNNNNNNNNNNNNNNNNNNNNNNNNNNNNNNNNNNNNNNNNNNNNNNNNNNNNNNNNNNNNNNNNNNNNNNNNNNNNNNNNNNNNNNNNNNNNNNNNNNNNNNNNNNNNNNNNNNNNNNNNNNNNNNNNNNNNNNNNNAACCGGAGCUGACGAACCCGGAUCAUCCGGAUGUACACCCGGAUCAUCCAGACCGAGCCCGGAUCAUCCGGACCUCCUCCCGGAUGUCCGGUUAACCCUGACACUGACUCGGCUGAUUUCUUGUUUCGGCCAUAACUAAUUCAUCCGGAGUCCGUUUUCGACAUUCUUUAGCUCGUUUUGAAGCUCUUGACAUCCCCCAUCCCACAAAAAAUAUCACCAACAUCAUUUGACUCCAUCAUAUUUUCUGAAAUUUGGCAAGUUUGCCUAGGCCCUCCACCAUAUCAUCUGCAUUGCCACCACCACUUCCGCAACCUAACACAUUUUGUUCCCCAUAGCAUUUGAGGUUGUUUGAGUAGUGACUUGAGUCUCCUAAGGUGUUUCGGCUACUUAGGGACGGUUGCUUCAUCAUCAACCACCACCACCACUACCUUCCGCAUAGGCUUACCCACCAUACACUUCCGCCAUCCCAAACUUAACCAAUUUUGUUUGUGUUGUGAGUUGUGUCUCCUAAGGUGUUUCGGCUACUUAGGGACCGUGUGCUUCCAACUCUUACAUCAUGUAUAGCCCAUCAUCCCACUUCCGCAUUGCCAAGAGCAAACCACCACCGCUUUCCGCUACCACCAUUUGACAUUUGUCAUUUGAGAUUUUGAGUUUGCGGUUUUUCCGUUUCCUAAGGUGUUUCGGCUACUUAGGGACGAGUCUCCAUCAUCUUGGUAUCUACACCAAGAACACCGCCACUCAUCAUCGCAAAGGACGGUAACCUCGACGACACCAUUGUAUAUUCCCUUGCAAUUGCAUUGUUAACCCCUAGCCCAUUUUGCGUCACUUACCUAUCGAGACUAGCCAUUUGAGUAUUGCCGGCAACGUUACUUGUGCACAUUAGUGGUCUACACCAUCCAUUGCAUACAUACCAUAUCAUCUUGGUAUCAUAUCAUCCAUUGUGCCUCAAGUUUGUUCCCGCAUAUACACAAUUGCUAUCUUGGUUUGUGCAUUGUGCACAAGUGGCCAUAAAAAAAGAGAAAAAGCUUUUAAGCAAAAAGAGAGCAAAGAGCUCGUGAGCAAGUGCCAUAGCAUCAUACCCCAUUGCACAUAAGAGCCAUACCAAAAUCUACAUCAUAUGAUAUAAUGCUUGAGAGAAACACCGGGAACCAUACAUACAUAGCAUACUUGGGAUAGAAAGUUUAUCCAUUUUGCAUCUUAUAGGUUGUGCACAAGUGUCGUAUCCGCCUAUUGAGCAAUCGUGCUAGCGUCUCUCUAGAGUUGUGCAACACGAGCGUUUUCCGUGGAUUCCACAUUUUGUGCUCAUUCCUUGGUUGCACGACCCCAUUUAUCUAUCCGUGUGUGUGUUUCCGUGUGCCAUUCUUUGCUAUUGGUCUACUUGUUUCGCUUGCGAAUUUGUGAAUCUCUUUCAACAUUAUUGAAUCUUGCUAACAUUUUGCAUUAAAUUUUUGUGCCACUAUCCUCACCGAGCUCUACCAUAAGCUUUACUUGAUAGGUGUGAGUGAACAAGUCCGGUACCAAUUCCACUAUUCUUUCAUCUCACAUUGAGUGACACGGGAUACAUCCUCAACUUUGGGAAAAGGUAACUUGGUAUUGUUUAUCUCAUUUCCUACUCACCUCUACUCGAGUCUUGUGAUGGAUAGGCAAGGCAUUUCAUCUUCGGUCUACAACAACAACGACGAGUUUGAUGCCAUGAACAACAACUCCGACGCCAAGAUGCAAGCUAAAAUGGAGGAGAUCAAAGCCCUCAUCAAGUCCUACAAGCGAUCUUCCUCAUCUUCGAGAAGACGCUCAAGAGCACAUGCUUCCGAGCUACCAUCUCCGGCACGAUCACAUCGGCAUCGACACCAUCACCAACAAGAACGUGAAGGUUAAGAGCUCUACAUCAACAAUCGCUCAAUGACUUCACCAUCUCCCUUGGCAUCUUCGCCAAGUGACUUCAAGGCAUCUUCGCCUACGGACAUACGGCAUCUUCGCCAACAAGAACCCCAAGACUACACUCAAGAGAAGCUCCCCAAGCUCAAGUCCGCGACUUCCAUGAGCUACUACGACCUCGACAUCGACCACGCGAUUCCUUUCUAUGGGACUCAAGAACCCGAGGAGUACCUCGAGUGGGAGCGUUUGAUGGACGACUACCUCAAGCUACAUCAAGUUCGUCCCGAAGAUCAAGUGAAGUGCGCCACAAGAAACUUCCACGACUACGCCUCGACAUGGUGGCUUCACACACCUUCGGAGAGCUACGAGAUGAGUUGGCCCAAGACGAAGAGAGCUUUACGGCGAGAGUUUGUGCCUCCAACCUACACGGAACAACUUCGACACCAAUUGGAGAACACCACCCAAGGAUCCAAGUCCAUCGACAAGUACUUCAAGGAGAUGAUGAUUGCCUUGCGACGAGCCGGCGUGGACGAACCCAUUUCGAUGAAGUUCCACUUCAUGAUGGGAUUGCACAACGACAUCUCCAAGACCAUCUUCCUCGAGAACUACAAGUCCAUCGACGACUACUACAUUGGUGCUCUCAAGGCGGAACAAGAACUCAUGAAGGCCAAGGCUUCUCCACCCCAAGCAAACUUUGAGGCGACCAAGCUCUACGACAAGCAUGAUGCUAGUACCACCAUGAUGUCCAAGGCCGACAAGCUACAAGACGAUGCUCCCAAGUGUGACUUCACCGCCAACCCUCUUUGUGGCAUUGAUGAUGCCGAGUCUACUUCGACUCUUUUUCAAGACGGUGCGGCAACGAGUACGACUACGGAGACCUUCAAGGACCAAGCUUUGGAGGCGAACAACAAGGUGGCGAGCAAGGAUGAUGCUUCCAUCUUAGGAGGCGAGAGUGAUGAUGUGCCAUCUUCGGCCUUCAUCCACGACGAGAGUGAUGAUGUGCCAUCUUCGGCCUUCAUCCACGACGACCACGACGAGAUGGUUGAGAAUGGGACUUUCCCUUCGACCACGGCGACGUAUGUGUUGGGGAACGUUGUAGAAAAUAAAAAUUUUCCUACUCGUUUCACCAAGAUCAUCUAGGAGUUCAUCUAGCAAAGAGUGAAUAGAUGCAUCUGCAUACCUUGUAGAUCACGAGCGGAAGCGUUCAAAGAACGGGGAUGAUGUAGUCGAACACGACGUGAUCCAAGUCACCGGAGAUCCUAGCACCGAACGGACGGCACCUCCGCGUUCAACACACGUACGGAAACAGCCACGUCUCCUCCUUGAUCCAGCAAGGGAGGGAGGAGAGGUUGAGGGAGAUGGCACCAGCAGCAGCACGACGGCGUGGUGUUGAUGGAGCUGCAGUACUCCGGCAGAGCUUCGCUAAGCAAUAAGGAGGUGGAGGAGGUGUUGGGGAGGGAGAAGGAGGCAACCAAAGGCCAAGGACUCAAAGUAUGAAGUCCCUCCUCUCCCCCACUAUAUAUAGGGGUGCCAAGGGGGGGAUAGUGCGCAGCCUAGGAGAUCCAAUCUCCUAUGGCCGGCGGCCAAGGGGAGGUUUCCCUCCCCCCCAAGGCACCUAGGAGGUGCCUUCCACUAGUAGGACUCCUCCCCCUUGGAAACCCUAGGCGCAUGGGCCUAGUGGGGCUGGUGCCCUUGGCCCAUGUAGGCCAAGGCGCACCCCCUACAGCCCAUGUGGCCCCCGGGGAUGGGUGGCCCCACCCGGUGGGCCCCCGGGACCCCUCCGGUGGUCCCGGUACAAUACCGAUAACCCCGAAACUUGUCCCGAUGCCCGAAACAGGACUUCCCAUAUAUAAAUCUUUACCUCCGGACCAUUCCGGAACUCCUCGUGACGUCCGAGAUCUCAUCCGGGACUCCGAACAACAUUCGGGUUACUGCAUAUACAUAUCCCUACAACCCUAGCGUAACUGAACCUUAAGUGUGUAGACCCUACGGGUUCGGGAGACAUGUAGACAUGACCGAGAUCGCUCUCCGGUCAAUAACCAACAACGGGAUCUGGAUACCCAUGUUGGCUCCCACAUGCUCCACGAUGAUCUCAUCGGAUGAACCACGAUGUCGAGGAUUUAAUCAACCCCGUAUGCAAUUCCCUUUGUCAAUCGAUAUGUUACUUGCCCGAGAUUCGAUCGUCGGUAUCCCAAUACCUCGUUCAAUCUUGUUACCGGCAAGUCACUUUACUCGUACCGUAAUGCAUGAUCCCGUGACCAAACACUUGGUCACUUUGAGCUCAUUAUGAUGAUGCAUUACUGAGUGGGCCCAGUGAUAUCUCUCCGUCACACGGAGUGACAAAUCCCAGUCUCGAUCCAUAUAAAACAAUAGAUACUUUCGGAGAUACCUGUAGUGCACCUUUAUAGUCACCCAGUUACGUUGUGACGUUUGAUACACCCAAAGCACUCCUACGGUAUCCAGGAGUUAUACGAUCUCAUGGUCGAAGGAAGAGAUACUUUGACAUUGCAUAAACUCUAGCAAACGAACUAUACGAUCUUGUGCUAUGUUUAGGAUUGAGUCUUGUCCAUCACAUCAUUAUCCUAAUGAUGUGAUCCCGUUAUCAAUGACAUCUAAUGUCCAUAGCCAGGAAACCAUGACUAUCUAUUGAUCAACGAGCUAGUCAACUAGAGGCUUACUAGGGACAUGUUGGUGUCUGUUAUUCACACAUGUAUUACGAUUUCCGGAUAACACAAUUAUAGCAUGAAUAAAGACAAUUAUCAUGAACAAAGAAAUAUAAUAAUAAUGCUUUUAUUAUUGCCUCUAGGGCAUAUUUCCAACAGUCUCCCACUUGCACUAGAGUCAAUAAUCUAGUUACAUUGUGAUGAAUCGAACACCCAUGGAAUUCUGGUGUUGAUCAUGUUUUGCUCUUGGGAGAGGUUUAGUCAACGGAUCUGCUACAUUCAGGUCCGUAUGUACUUUACAAAUCUCUAUGUCUCCAUCUUGAACAUUUUCACGGAUGGAGUUGAAGCGAUGCUUGAUGUGCCUUGUCUUCUUGUGAAACCUGGGCUCCUUGGCAAGUGCAAUAGCUCCAGUGUUGUCACAGAAGAGCUUGAUCGGCCCCGACGCAUUGGGUAUGACUCCUAGGUCGGUGAUGAACUCCUUCACCCAUAUUGCUUCAUGUGCUGCCUCCGAGGCUGCCAUGUACUCCGCUUCACAUGUAGAUCCCGCCACGAUGCUCUGCUUGCAACUGCACCAGCUUACUGCCCCACCAUUCAAAAUAUACACGUAUCUGGUUUGUGACUUAGAGUCAUCCAGAUCUGUGUCGAAGCUAGCGUCGACGUAACCUUUUACGACGAGCUCUUCGUCACCUCCAUAAACGAGAAACAUUUCCUUAGUCCUUUUCAGGUACUUCAGGAUAUUCUUGACCGCUGUCCAGUGUUCCUUGCCGGGAUUACUUUGGUACCUUCCUACCAAACUUACGGCAAGGUUUACAUCAGGUCUGGUACACAGCAUGGCAUACAUAAUAGAACCUAUGGCUGAGGCAUAGGGGAUGACACUCAUCUCUUCUAUCUCUGCUGCCGUGGUCGGACAUUGAGCUGAGCUCAAUUUCACACCUUGCAAAACAGGCAAGAACCCUUUCUUGGACUGAUCCAUUUUGAACUUCUUCAAAAUCUUAUCAAGAUAUGUGCUUUAUGAAAGACCUAUGAGGCGUCUUGAUCUAUCCCUAUAGAUCUUGAUGCCUAAUAUAUAAGCAGCUUCUCCAAGGUCCUUCAUUGAAAAACUCUUAUUCAAGUAGGCCUUAAUGCUGUCCAAAAGUUCUAUAUCAUUUCCCAUCAAAAGUAUGUCAUCUACAUAUAGUAUGAGAAAUGCUAUAGAGCUCCCACUCACUUUCUUGUAAACACAGGCUUCUCCAUAAGUCUGUGUAAACCCAAACGCUUUGAUCAUCUCAUCAAAACGAAUGUUCCAACUCCGAGAUGCUUGCACCAGCCCAUAAAUCGAGCGUUGGAGCUUGCACACCUUGUCAGCAUUUUUAGGAUCGACAAAACCUUCUGGCUGCAUCAUAUACAAUUCUUCCUUAAGGAAACCAUUAAGGAAUGCCGUUUUGACGUCCAUUUGCCAAAUUUCAUAAUCAUAAAAUGCGGCAAUUGCUAACAUGAUUCGGACGGACUUCAGCUUCGCUACUGGUGAGAAAGUCUCAUCGUAGUCAACCCCUUGAACUUGUCGAUAACCCUUAGCGACAAGCCGAGCUUUAUAGAUGGUCACAUUACCAUCCGCGUCUGUCUUCUUCUUAAAGAUCCAUUUAUUUUCUAUGGCUCGCCGUUCUACGGGCAAGUCAGUCAAAGUCCAUACUUCGUUUUCAUACAUGGAUCCUAUCUCGGAUUUCAUGGCUUCUAGCCAUUUGUCGGAAUCCGGACCCGCCAUCGCUUCUUCAUAGUUCGAAGGUUCACCGUUGUCUAACAACAUGAUUUCCAAGACAGGGUUGCCGUACCACUCUGGUGCGGAACGUGUCCUCGUGGACCUUCGAAUUUCAGUAGGAGCUUGAUCUGAAGUAUCUUGAUCAUUAUCAUUAACUUCCUCUCUAGUCGGUGCAGGCACCUCAGGAACAUUUUCUUGAGUUGCGCCAUUUUCUGGUUCAAGAGGUAAUACUUCAUCAAGCUCUACUUUCCUCCCACUUACUUCUUUCGAGAGAAACUCUUUCUCCAGAAAGGACCCAUUCUUGGCAACAAAGAUCUUGCCUUCGGAUCUGAGGUAGAAGAUAUACCCAACAGUUUCUUUAGGGUAUCCUAUGAAGACGCAUUUUUCCGAUUUGGGUUCGAGCUUUUUAGGUUGAAGUUUCCUGACAUAAGCAUCGCAUCCCCAAACUUUUAGAAAUGACAGCUUAGGUUUCUUCCCAAACCAUAAUUCAUACGGUGUCGUCUCAACGGAUUUCGACGGGGCCCUAUUUAAAGUGAAUGCGGCAGUCUCUAAAGCAUAGCCCCAAAAAGAUAGUGGUAAAUCGGCAAGAGACAUCAUAGAUCGCACCAUAUCUAAUAGAGUGCGAUUACGACGUUCGGACACACCAUUACGCUGAGGUGUUCCAGGCGGCGUGAGUUGUGAAACUAUUCCACAUUUUCUUAAGUGUGUACCAAACUCGUGACUCAAGUAUUCUCCUCCACGAUCUGAUCGUAGAAACUUGAUUUUCCUGUCACAUUGAUUCUCAACUUCACUCUGAAAUUCCUUGAACUUUUCAAAGGUCUCAGACUUGUGUUUCAUUAAGUAGACAUACCCAUAUCUACUCAAGUCAUCAGUGAGGGUGAGAACAUAACGAUAGCCACCGCGAGCCUCAACACUCAUUGGACCGCACACAUCAGUAUGUAUGAUUUCCAAUAAGUUGGUUGCUCUCUCCAUUGUUCCUGAGAAUGGAGUCUUGGUCAUUUUACCCAUGAGGCAUGGUUCACACGUGUCAAAUGAUUCGUAAUCAAGAGACUCUGAAAGUCCAUCAGCAUGGAGCUUCUUCAUGCGUUUGACACCUAUGUGACCGAGGCGGCAGUGCCACAAGUAUGUGGGACUAUCACUAUCAAUCUUACAUCUUUUGGUACUUACACUAUGAAUAUGUGUAGCAUUACGCUCGAGAUUCAUAAAGAAUAAACCAUUCACCAUCGGAGCAUGACCAUAAAACAUAUCUCUCAUAUAAAUAGAACAACCAUUAUUCUCGGAUUUAAAUGAGUAGCCAUCUCGAAUUAAACGAGAUCCUGAUACAAUGUUCAUGCUCAAACUUGGCACAAAAUAACAAUUAUUGAGGUUCAAAACUAAUCCCGUAGGUAAAUGUAGAGGUAGCGUGCCGACGGCGAUCACAUCGACCUUGGAACCAUUCCCGACGCGCAUCGUCACCUCGUCCUUCGCCAGUCUCCGUUUAUUCCGCAGCUCCUGUUGUGUGUUACAAAUAUGAGCAACGGCACCGGUAUCAAAUACCCAGGAGUUACUACGAUUACUGGUAAGGUACACAUCAAUUACAUGUAUAUCAAAUAUACCUUUGGUUUUGCCGGCCUUCUUGUCCGCUAAGUAUUUGGGGCAAUUCCGCUUCCAGUGACCACUUUCCUUGCAAUAAAAACACUCAGUCUCGGGCUUGGGUCCAUUCUUUGGCUUCUUCCCGGCAGCUUGCUUGCUGGGCGUGGCAACUACCUUGCCGUCUUUCUUGAAGUACUUUUUACCCUUGCCCUUCUUGAACUUAGUGGUUUUAUUGACCAUCAACACUUGAUGUUCCUUUCUGACUUCUACCUCUGCUGAUUUCAGCAUAGCAAAUACUUCAGGAAUGGUCUUUUCCAUCCCCUGCAUAUUGAAGUUCAUCACAAAGCUCUUGUAGCUCGGUGGAAGCGACUGGAGGAUUCUGUCAUUGACCGCAUCAUCCGGGAGAUUAACUCCCAGCUGAGUCAAGCGGUUAUGCAACCCAGACAUAGUGAGUAUGUGCUCACUGAUAGAACUGUUUUCCUCCAUCUUACAGCUGAAGAAUUUGUCGGAGACUUCAUAUCUCUCGACCCGGGCAUGAGCUUGAAAAACCAUUUUCAGCUCUUCGAACAUCUCAUAUGCUCCAUGUCUCUCAAAACGCUUUUGGAGCCCCGGCUCUAGGCUGUAAAGCAUGCCGCACUGAACGAGGGAGUAGUCAUCGGAACGUGCCUGCCAAGCGUUCAUAACGUCUUGUUCCGCAGGGAGAAUGGGUGCGUCACCAAGCGGUGCUUGUAGGACAUAAUCUUUCUUGGCAGCUAUGAGGAUGAUCCUCAGGUUCCGGACCCAGUCCGUAUAGUUGCUGCCAUCGUCUUUCAGCUUGGUUUUCUCUAGGAACGCGUUGAAGUUGAGGACUACGUUGGCCAUUUGAUCUACAAGACAUAUUGUAAAAAUUUAGACUAAGUUCAUGAUAAUUAAGUUCAUCUAAUCAAAUUAUAAUGAACUCCCACUCAGAUUUGACAUCCCUUUGGUCAUCUAAGUGUUACACGAUCCGAGUCGACUAGGCCGUGUCCGAUCAUCACGUGAGACGGACUAGUCAUCGUCGGUGAACAUUCUCAUGUAGAUCGUAUCUUCCAUACGACUCGUGUUCGACCUUUCGGUCUCCGUGUUCCGAGGCCAUGUCUGUACAUGCUAGGCUCGUCAAGUUAACCCUAAGUGUUUUCGCUGUGUAAAACUGUCUUACACCCGUUGUAUGUGAACGUAAGAAUCUAUCACACCCGAUCAUCACGUGGUGCUUCGAAACGACGAACUGUAGCAACGGUGCACAGUUAGGGGAGAACACUUCUUGAAAUUUUGUAAGGGAUCAUCUUAUUUACUACCGUCGUUCUAAGUAAACAAGAUGCAUAAAACAUAAUAAACAUCACAUGCAAUUAUAUAAAGUAGUGACAUUAUAUGGCCAAUAUCAUAUAGCUCCUUUGAUCUUCAUCUUCGGGGCUCCAUGAUCAUCUUGUUACCGGCAUGACACCAUGAUCUCCAUCAUCGUGUCUUCAUGAAGUUGUCACGCCAACGACUACUUCUACUUCUAUGACUAACGCGUUUAGUAAUAAAGUAAAGUAGUUUACAUGGCGUUCUUUAAUGACACGCAGGUCAUACAAAAAAAUAAAGACAACUCCUAUGGCUCCUGCCGGUUGUCAUACUCAUCGACAUGCAAGUCGUGAUUCCUAUUACAAUAGCAUGAACAUCUCAUACAUGACAUAUAGAUCAUUCAUCAUUCAUCACAACUUUGGCCAUAUCAUAUCACAAAGCACUUGCUGCAAAAACAAGUUAGACGUCCUCUAAUUGUUGUUUGCAAGUUUUACGUGGCUGAAGUAGGGUUCUAGCAAGAACGUUUUCUUACCUACGUGAAACCACAACGUGAUUUGUCAACUUCUAUUUACCCUUCAUAAGGACCCUUUUCAUCGAAUCCGCUUCAACUAAAGUGGGAGAGACAGACACCCGCCAGCCACCUUAUGCAACUUGUGCAUGUUAGUCGGUGGAACCGGUCUCACGUAAGCGUACGUGUAAGGUUGGUCCGGGCCGCUUCAUCCCACAAUACCGCUGAAGCAAGAUAAGACUAGUAGCGGCAAGAAAGUUGACAAAUCUACGCCCACAACCAAUUGUGUUCUACUCGUGCAAGAAGAACUACGCAUAGAACUAGCUCUGAUACCACUGUUGGGGAACGUUGCAGAAAAUAAAAAAUUUCCUACUCGUUUCACCAAGAUCAUCUAGGAGUUCAUCUAGCAAUGAGUGAAUAGAUGCAUCUACAUACGUUGUAGAUCACGAGCGGAAGCGUUCAAAGAACGGGGAUGAUGUAGUCGAACACGACGUGAUCCAAGUCACCGGAGAUCCUAGCACCGAACGGACGACACCUCCGCGUUCAACACACGUACGGAAACAGCCACGUCUCCUCCUUCUUGAUCCAGCAAGGGAGGGAGGAGAGGUUGAGGGAGAUGGCACCAGCAGCAGCACGACGGCGUGGUGUUGAUGGAGCUGCAGUACUCCGGCAGAGCUUCGCUAAGCAAUAAGGAGGUGGAGGAGGUGUUGGGGAGGGAGAAGGAGGCAACCAAAGGCCAAGGACUCAAAGUAUGAAGUCCCUCCUCUCCCCCACUAUAUAUAGGGGUGCCAAGGGGGGGUGGUGCGCAGCCUAGGAGAUCCAAUCUCCUAUGGCCGGCGGCCAAGGGGAGGUUUCCCUCCCCCCAAGGCACCUAGGAGGUGCCUUCCACUAGUAGGACACCUCCCCCUUGGAAACCCUAGGCGCAUGGGCCUAGUGGGGCUGGUGCCCUUGGCCCAUGUAGGCCAAGGCGCACCCCCUACAGCCCAUGUGGCCCCUGGGGAUGGGUGGCCCCACCCGGUGGGCCCCCGGGACCCCUCCGGUGGUCCCGGUACAAUACCGAUAACCCCGAAACUUGUCCCGAUGCCCGAAACAGGACUUCCCAUAUAUAAAUCUUUACCUCCGGACCAUUCCGGAACUCCUCGUGACGUCCGGGAUCUCAUCCGGGACUCCGAACAACAUUCGGGUUACUGCAUAUACAUAUCCCUACAACCCUAGCGUAACUGAACCUUAAGUGUGUAGACCCUACGGGUUCGGGAGACAUGUAGACAUGACCGAGAUCGCUCUCCGGUCAAUAACCAACAGCGGGAUCUGGAUACCCAUGUUGGCUCCCACAUGCUCCACGAUGAUCUCAUCGGAUGAACCACGAUGUCGAGGAUUUAAUCAACCCCGUAUGCAAUUCCCUUUGUCAAUCGAUAUGUUACUUGCCCGAGAUUCGAUCGUCGGUAUCCCAAUACCUCGUUCAAUCUUGUUACCGGCAAGUCACUUUACUCGUACCGUAAUGCAUGAUCCCGUGACCAAACACUUGGUCACUUUGAGCUCAUUAUGAUGAUGCAUUACUGAGUGGGCCCAGUGAUAUCUCUCCGUCAUGCGGAGUGACAAAUCCCAGUCUCGAUCCAUAUAAAACAAUAGAUACUUUCGGAGAUACCUGUAGUGCACCUUUAUAGUCACCCAGUUACGUUGUGACGUUUGAUACACCCAAAGCACUCCUACGGUAUCCAGGAGUUAUACGAUCUCAUGGUCGAAGGAAGAGAUACUUUGACAUUGCAAAACUCUAGCAAACGAACUAUACGAUCUUGUGCUAUGUUUAGGAUUGGGUCUUGUCCAUCACAUCAUUAUCCUAAUGAUGUGAUCCCGUUAUCAAUGACAUCCAAUGUCCAUAGCCAGGAAACCAUGACUAUCUAUUGAUCAACGAGCUAGUCAACUAGAGGCUUACUAGGGACAUGUUGGUGUCUGUUAUUCACACAUGUAUUACGAUUUCCGGAUAAUACAAUUAUAGCAUGAAUAAAGACAAUUAUCAUGAACAAAGAAAUAUAAUAAUAAUGCUUUUAUUAUUGCCUCUAGGGCAUAUUUCCAACAGUCUCCCACUUGCACUAGAGUCAAUAAUCUAGUUACAUUGUGAUGAAUCGAACACCCAUGCAAUUCUGGUGUUGAUCAUGUUUUGCUCUUGGGAGAGGUUUAGUCAACGGAUCUGCUACAUUCAGGUCCGUAUGUACUUUACAAAUCUCUAUGUCUCCAUCUUGAACAUUUUCACGAAUGGAGUUGAAGCGACGCUUGAUGUGCCUUGUCUUCUUGUGAAACCUGGGCUCCUUGGCAAGUGCAAUAGCUCCAGUGUUGUCACAGAAGAGCUUGAUUGGCCCCGACGCAUUGGGUAUGACUCCUAGGUCGGUGAUGAACUCCUUCACCCAUACUGCUUCAUGUGCUGCCUCCGAGGCUGCCAUGUACUCCGCUUCACAUGUAGAUCCCGCCACGACGCUCUGCUUGCAACUGCACCAGCUUACUGCCCCACCAUUCAAAAUAUACACGUAUCCGGUUUGUGACUUAGAGUCAUCCAGAUCUGUGUCGAAGCUAGCGUCGACGUAACCUUUUACGACGAGCUCUUCGUCACCUCCAUAAACGAGAAACAUUUCCUUAGUCCUUUUCAGGUACUUCAGGAUAUUCUUGACCGCUGUCCAGUGUUCCUUGCCGGGAUUACUUUGGUACCUUCCUACCAAACUUACGGCAAGGUUUACAUCAGGUCUGGUACACAGCAUGGCAUACAUAAUAGAACCUAUGGCUGAGGCAUAGGGGAUGACACUCAUCUCUUCUAUCUCUGCUGUCGUGGUCGGACAUUGAGCUGAGCUCAAUUUCACACCUUGCAAAACAGGCAAGAACCCUUUCUUGGACUGAUCCAUUUUGAACUUCUUCAAAAUCUUAUCAAGAUAUGUGCUUUGUGAAAGACCUAUGAGGCGUCUUGAUCUAUCCCUAUAGAUCUUGAUGCCUAAUAUAUAAGCAGCUUCUCCAAGGUCCUUCAUUGAAAAACUCUUAUUCAAGUAGGCCUUAAUGCUGUCCAAAAGUUCUAUAUCAUUUCCCAUCAAAAGUAUGUCAUCUACAUAUAGUAUGAGAAAUGCUAUAGAGCUCCCACUCACUUUCUUGUAAACACAGGCUUCUCCAUAAGUCUGUGUAAACCCAAACGCUUUGAUCAUCUCAUCAAAACGAAUGUUCCAACUCCGAGAUGCUUGCACCAGCCCAUAAAUCGAGCGUUGGAGCUUGCACACCUUGUCAGCAUUUUUAGGAUCGACAAAACCUUCCGGCUGCAUCAUAUACAAUUCUUCCUUAAGGAAACCAUUAAGGAAUGCCGUUUUGACGUCCAUUUGCCAAAUUUCAUAAUCAUAAAAUGAGGCAAUUGCUAACAUGAUUCGAACGGACUUCAGCUUCGCUACCGGUGAGAAAGUCUCAUCAUAGUCAAUCCCUUGAACUUGUCGAUAACCCUUAGCGACAAGCCGAGCUUUAUAGAUGGUCACAUUACCAUCCGCGUCUGUCUUCUUCUUAAAGAUCCAUUUAUUUUCUAUGGCUCGCCGUUCUACGGGCAAGUCAGUCAAAGUCCAUACUUCGUUUUCAUACAUGGAUCCUAUCUCGGAUUUCAUGGCUUCUAGCCAUUUGUCGGAAUCCGGACCCGCCAUCGCUUCUUCAUAGUUCGAAGGUUCACCAUUGUCUAACAACAUGAUUUCCAAGACAGGGUUGCCGUACCACUCUGGUGCGGAACGUGUCCUCGUGGACCUUCGAAUUUCAGUAGGAGCUUGAUCAGAAGUAUCUUGAUCAUUAUCAUUAACUUCCUCUUUAGUCGGUGCAGGUGUUGGGUAACGUUGCAGAAAACAAAAAAUUUCCUACUCGUUUCACCAAGAUCAUCUAGGAGUUCAUCUAGCAAUGAGUCAUUGGAUGCAUCUACGUACCUUGUAGAUCGCGAGCGGAAGCGUUCAAAGAACGGGGAUGAUGUAGUCGAACACGACGUGAUUCGAAUCACCGGAGAUCCUAGCACCGAACGGACGGCACCUCCGCGUUCAACACACGUACGGAACAGCCACGUCUCCUCCUUCUUGAUCCAGCAAGGGAGGGAGGAGAGGUUGAGGGAGAUGGCACCAGCAGCAGCACGACGGCGUGGUGUUGAUGGAGCUGCAGUACUCCGGCAGAGCUUCGCUAAGCAAUAAGGAGAUGGAUGAGGUGUUGGGGAGGGAGAAGGAGGCAACCAAAGGCCAAGGACUCAAGGUAUGAAGUCCCUCCUCUCCCCCACUAUAUAUAGGGGUGCCAAGGGGGGGUGGCCGGCCCUAGGAGAUCCAAUCUCCUAGGGGGUGCGGCGGCCAAGGGGGGUUUCCCUCCCCCCCAAGGCACCUAGGAGGUGCCUUACCCUCCUAGGACUCUUGCCCCCUUGAACCCUAGGCGCAUGGGCCUAUGUGGGGCUGGUGCCCUUGGCCCAAGCAGGCCAAGGCGCACCCCCUACAGCCCAUGUGGCCCCCGGGGAUGGGUGGCCCCACCCGGUGGGCCCCCGGGACCCCUCCGGUGGUCCCGGUACAAUACCGAUAACCCCGAAACUUGUCCCGAUGCCCGAAACAGGACUUUUCAUAUAUAAAUCUUUACCUCCGGACCAUUCCGGAACUCCUCGUGACGUCCGGGAUCUCAUCCGGGACUCCGAACAACAUUCGGGUUACUGCAUAUACAUAUCCCUACAACCCUAGCGUAACUGAACCUUAAGUGUGUAGACCCUACGGGUUCGGGAGACAUGUAGACAUGACCGAGAUCGCUCUCCGGUCAAUAACCAACAGCGGGAUCUGGAUACCCAUGUUGGCUCCCACAUGCUCCACGAUGAUCUCAUCGGAUGAACCACGAUGUCGAGGAUUUAAUCAACCCCGUAUGCAAUUCCCUUUGUCAAUCGAUAUGUUACUUGCCCGAGAUUCGAUCGUCGGUAUCCCAAUACCUCGUUCAAUCUUGUUACCGGCAAGUCACUUUACUCGUACCGUAAUGCAUGAUCCCGUGACCAAACACUUGGUCACUUUGAGCUCAUUAUGAUGAUGCAUUACUGAGUGGGCCCAGUGAUAUCUCUCCGUCAUACGGAGUGACAAAUCCCAGUCUCGAUCCAUAUAAAACAAUAGAUACUUUCGGAGAUACCUGUAGUGCACCUUUAUAGUCACCCAGUUACAUUGUGACGUUUGAUACACCCAAAGCACUCCUACGGCAUCCAGGAGUUAUACGAUCUCAUGGUCGAAGGAAGAGAUACUUUGACAUUGCAAAAACUCUAGCAAACGAACUAUACGAUCUUGUGCUAUGUUUAGGAUUGGGUCUUGUCCAUCACAUCAUUAUCCUAAUGAUGUGAUCCCGUUAUCAAUGACAUCCAAUGUCCAUAGCCAGGAAACCAUGACUAUCUAUUGAUCAACGAGCUAGUCAACUAGAGGCUUACUAGGGACAUGUUGGUGUCUGUUAUUCACACAUGUAUUACGAUUUCCGGAUAACACAAUUAUAGCAUGAAUAAAGACAAUUAUCAUGAACAAAGAAAUAUAAUAAUAAUGCUUUUAUUAUUGCCUCUAGGGCAUAUUUCCAACAGUAUGAUGACUUGAGUGACUUGUGCCACCAUAUUGAGAGUGAGAGUGACUUCACCACUAGCCCCAUACAUGAUGAGUUGCCACAAUUCCCAUGUGAGGAGAGCCACAACCCCCACCACUUGAGUGAGAUGAGUGACUCCACCAUACGUGAGUUUGAGUGCACCUAUUUUGAGGGAGUGAGUGAACCACCACAUAGAGAGAGUGAGAUAGUUGAUAGGUCUCGUGAGGCCAUUUGCAUUUCUAACAACCUGACCUCUACCUCUAUUGUGUCUUCUCGUUUGGUGCUAGAUCCCAUUUAUGAUGACGCGCUGAUCCUCGACGACUUCGUCCUCCCUUUGGACAAGAUGAUGGACAUGGUGGAAUAUGAUGCACCCCCACAUGGUUCCAUCAAGAUGAAGAUGACCACCAUUUGGUCUUUCCCACCUCACCUACACCACUUGAGUGGAAUGACAAAGGUAACAAAGGUGAAGGUGAUGCUCUUGUCCCACUAGUGGACUCUCUUGACAAUGAUUGCUCCCAUGAUGUUGACCCACCUCUUACCAUGCUUCAUGCUAGUGAAACUUCUUCAUGCCUUGACUUACCUAUUUAUGAUGAAUAUGAUGAUGAGCAUGUUGAGUUGCCUAGUUGUGAUGCUAUGCUUCAUAGGAUAUCAUGUGAAAAUUCUUUUGGUCACAUCAUGUUUGACAAUCCAUUGAACUUGUCAUAUGCUAUGAGUGAGAUCUCCCAUCUUGCAUCUUUACAAUCUCAACAUAGUGACUAUGCAUAUGCCAUUAAAAUAAACCCAAUUUGCACAUAUGGCAUAGAUGGCAAGCCCAUGGUUAUUGGCAUUUGUUUCUCUUGUGAUGAUAUUGAUAUGCUCCCUUUGCAUCAUUUAUCUCAUAUGCCAUGCCAUGACCACCUAGCUUCGGAUAUGCAUUGUUUUGGAUGUUGUCCAUUUUCUCCAUAUGAUGUUUCCGAUAUUGCUCAUGAGGAGGCCCCCAUAGUUUCCUCAUACAUGUUAGGGGAAUUUGAUCCAUCCCAUCCAUUGCAUGAUCUCAAUACUUGUGUGCACCAUAUGCUCCCCAUGAAUAAACAUGCUUUUGAUGUGCCAUAUACUUGUUUGCUCAAUUUGUGUCCCCAUCGUGUCAUACAUAAUAACUAUUAUUUCAUGAUGGAUGACAUGUUCUUAUACCAUGCAUCAAAUUUCUUUGAGAAUUUCUUAUCUUUUGCUAACUCACACGUGCACAUACACAUCAUGAUGGAUGAUGUGUACAUUUACCACGCCCACAAUUUCUUUGGAUGUGUCUCUUUUGUGUAGGUACCCAUGAAUACUUGUCAACUUCGCAAUCCCACGAGUUGACAAAACGAGCUCUUGAGAGCAAUGACAAUUUGGGAUCCCGUGGACUAUCCUUACCACCGUUCCCUUCAUGCAAGGACUACGCGCAACUCCUCUACUUGGCUCUCACACGGCUAUGGGCCAUUUACCACUUCUCACAUUAUGCUCAUUUUACCGUGUUCACUUUGCAUGCUAUGCUUGCUUCUAUGCCUUUGCCAUGCAAUUGUGACCCUUGUUUGCAUCUACCCAUGAUUCUCCAUUAUGAUAUUCCUAUGUGUAUUUGCAUGCUUGGUGGAGAUCCUUGUUGCUUUUGCCAUGUUUAUCAUGUGCCCCAUUCUAUUGAUGCUUGUUGUGUUGGGAGAGUCAUGAUGACCCAUUGCUAUUCACGUAUGGCCUCUCGCCAAUACAUUCAUGAUAUUGUACUCAUAUCUUGCUUUCAUGCUUGUGCUAUGACUUGUGAAUUAUUAAUGCCCACUAUUUGCACCAAUGACAUGAUUGCCAUGAUUUCCUCUAGUAUGUUGCAUCUUCGCACUACUAGCUUGCUUGACUUGAUUGCUUUGAUUGCUUGCUAUGUUGCAUCACCCAUGUUCCACUACUUGCUUUCUUGGGUUGAUGACAUAUAUGCUCAUGCCUCUCACAUGAUAUAUCUUGAUCAUUGUAUCUUGUGUUAUAAGUGCUCAUCUCAUGCGGUUGAUGACAACCAUCUAUAUGCUUUGCACAUGAUUCAUAUUGCUUCGUGUCAUAUAUCUCCAUGUGUUGCCUCUCUCAUGCUAGAUGAUUUGCCACGUAUUGAGUGCAACAAUGCUUAUAGUCUUGCUCUUAAGAUUGCCCCCAUAGCAUUCUUACAUAUGUUUGGAGAUGUUGACAUAUUCCUUGUGAAGCAUGCUUGUCUUACUUCUUUGCACCAUAUACCUAGUGCCAUGAAUAUAGCCAUUGUUGCAUCAUAUUAUUCAUGCACUUGUGCUUCUAAUGGUUAUGUGCAUGAGAAGAGAACCAUCAUGAUGGAUGAUGUGUUUGUCUACCAUGUGCAUACGUUCUUUGUUUUGUUGUGUGCAUGUGUAGGAUACUUGGACUUUGUUUCGACUUCCACUUCACGUGAGUUGACCAUUCGAGCUCUUGAGAGCGAGCCUCAUACAUUCUACCAUGACUCGCUUCUAUACCACGCUUGCUUGCACUUCGGCAUUGUGAAGAAUGCACAAGGACAUGCCUUCAAGGUGACAUCUUUCUUGAACAUGGAUAUUGCGGAUAAUACUACUUGUGUUGCUUGCACCGUGAGACUUAUUGGUCAUCUUGGACCACUUGAGUGCGCACUUGCUAGAGAUCUUGCUUUGACUUGCCAUUAUCACAUUCCCAUGCAUCAUGAUAUAUAUGCCUUGUGUGUUGCAUCCAAUUCUUGGACUACUUGCUACUAUCAUAUGGUUGGUUGCACCAAUACCAUUUCUUCACAUAUGCCAUGUCCCUUUGCUUGUCACAUGUUUGACUUGAUUGCCUCACACAUGAUGAACAAUUGCUAUUUCCAUUGUGUUGAGUGCCACGAUAUCUUCACUACACCCUAUGCACGUUAUGCUUGGAUUGUCUUGCACUUGCCCCAUGUGUUUAGACAUUUCACUAUAUUUGGUGUUGUGAAUGACUCUUAUGCCUACCAUAGACCAUUCAUUGAGCUCUCUAUGCAUGCUUGCUAUGACCUUGAGGUAGAUGCUUGUUCACUUAUCACAUAUAUUUGCAUCUUGAACUCCCAUUUACAUGCUUGUUCCCAUGAUGUACUUGAUUGUGCUCAAUUUAUAUGCUCAAAUGCCAUGCCACACUUCUUUGUCAAACCAUAUGCUUUGCUUGAUGACAACACUUGUUGGGUGAAUCACCUCUUGAAUGCUUGGUUUUGCUCUUACGACAACCACAUUUGUUUUUCCAAGUGCUUGUUAUCUUUGCUACUUUUGAAGGAAUUACAAGACGGUGCGACAUUGGAGAGUGCCCAUUUGGAACUACAAGAUGAUGAAUGCUUGGUGAUCGUCCACUUCUACACAACGACAUCAUCUCUUUCCCAUGGUGAUUUGGAUUUCGAUCCGAGGGAGGAUCUUUCCCAAGGGGGAGGGGAUGAUGCGGAGCAUCCUACGGACAUCACCAUGUCAAGAUCCCAUUUGGCAAGUGACACGUGCGACAUCUACUUCACACACACAAAGGUGAAUCAUCUCCUUUACACGUGCUCACUUGACCCCUUCGAGGAUGGCAUACUGCUUGACACUUCUCCCGUGUGCAUGCAUAGGUAUUGUCGGAACUUCACGGACGACGAGGAGGAGUGCAAGCGCCAAGGAACGACUACACCAUCCGCGAGGGAAGCGUGGAAGAGAAGACGGAAGAAAGGAGAAGAAGACGGAGAGGCUGCAGGAGCCAGGCCGGACAUCCGGACCGCUGUCCGGAUCAUCCGGGCUCGGCCGGAUCAUCCGGGGCCCCCUCCAGAUCAUCCGGAUAAUUGCGUCCGAAGACACCCGAAGGCCUCAUGUGAAGCCGGAUCAUCCGGGCCCCCUCCCAGAUCAUCCGAACGAUGGCCGGAUCAUCCGGACCCCCAUCCGGAUCAUCCGGGCCUUGCCUGCGUGCAACGUUUCGGGCCGAGGCCCAUGUACCCAUUCGCCCCCUCACUUACCCCUUCGCCCACUAGACUAUAAAUAGACCUCCUCCUCCCCAUUUUUAGGGUUAGCAAAGUGAUAGCUCAUUCUUAGGUGAGCUUUGCUCCUACCAAUCUCUACUCUUGAGAGAGAGAGACCACUACUCCAUUGGAGGCCAAGACCUCCAUCUAGGAGAAGAUCCCGCGGGAUAUCAUCAAGACCCCCUUGUGGGAAGAUCCAUCUAGGAUAUCUUCAAGACCUCCUCUUGGAGAUGAACCUUACCUUGUAUCUUUCCCUUUGUUGUUCAUGUACCUUGUGACCUUGUGUGUUUGAUUGUCUAGUGGAUGUGUGAUUUGGACUUGUUCUUGAGUGUUUCCCCUUGUGAUUUCUCCCCGUUCUUCCCCGUGUUCAUCGUGUUCUUCGAGGGAUCCCACUCCAAACGUGAAAGAUCGCCGCUAUAGGGUUCCACCCUACAUCA
rnacentral:lncRNA from 1 species